UACUGUAAGGACCAGAUUUUGUCAUCAGUCGACUGAAGUAUCAUGUAGUUGACCGCUUUUGAAAUUGUCCUUUGAGAUUUCGACAUUUUCAAUCUUAGUUCUCUCUUCCCAAUCUAAGCGUUCUACUCCCGGAUGUGACGAGCCGAUUCCCUAAGCUAAGUUUCUCCAUGACUCUCUCUUUUCUCUCUUCCCGUUUCCGUUUGGUCCCGUCUUUCUCUGUUUCAUCUGUGUCUCUCUCCCUCGCAGAACCGUUGAGUUCGACUCUGCCAAGCUGGGCUAUUUCUUGGAGUAGCAAGACAGCGGUAGCAUUAAUGUCGUGGCCGGCAAAGUCCUCAGCUCCAACUUCAUAACUUCGAUCAAACUUGACCCUAGUCUACAGCUCCUAAGCAGAUUCGAGCUUCACGAUCAAUGGGGCGAAAGAGAAGGCUAGAUUACGGAGGUGAAAGCUUUGGUGGUUGAUGGGCUUGCCCAAAUAAUAGAGCUAAGGAAGACGGUGGCGGUUGGGCUCGCUCAAUCCAAGGAAAGGCAGAGGAGUCAAGAACGGGCAGUCAAAUUGUUGAUGCACAAGAUUGAUAGCUUGGGCAUGAAGAAAUGUGAAUGACGGAAAUUAGGCAAUGGCGAUGCACCCUGAUGAAUAUGUAUGGUAUAUGAUGCUGAGGAAGGUCUUCUGACUUUGCCUUGUGAACAAGUGUAAUAAUUUUUUAAAUUAGGAACAUGAUUAGUGGCUUAAUUAUGCACAUAGAGUUUGUUCUUUUGAUUUAUUCAGUAAAACAGUGAUGACCACAUCGACCUUUGGAUGGUUUUUCAAACCUCAACCACUAUUGUAAUCUCGUUUUGGGAUAUUACGUAAACUUAUUUGAGCGAGUA